rnacentral:pre_miRNA from 1 species
GCCCUGGAAAGGAUAUCAUCAUAUACUGUAAGUUCAUUAUACAGACACUACAGUAUAGAUGAUGUACUAUCCAGAGUCU